GCUGGGCACUGUGGCGCAUGCCUGUAAUCCCAGCAGCUCAGGAGGUUGAGGCAGGAGGAUUUUGAGUUCAAAGCCAGCCUUAGCAAAAGUGAGGUGCUAAGCAACUCAGUGGGACCCUGUCUCUA
rnacentral:sRNA from 1 species